UACGUAGGGUGCAAGCGUUGUCCGGAAUUAUUGGGCGUAAAGAGCUCGUAGGCGGUCUGUUGCGUCGGCUGUGAAAACCCGGGGCUCAACUCCGGGCCUGCAGCCGAUACGGGCAGACUAGAGUUCGGUAGGGGAGUCUGGAAUUCCUGGUGUAGCGGUGAAAUGCGCAGAUAUCAGGAGGCACACCGGUGGCGAAGGCGGGACUCUGGGCCGAUACUGACGCUGAGGAGCGAAAGCGUGGGGAGCAAACAGG
rnacentral:rRNA from 1 species